rnacentral:rRNA from 1 species
GACAGAGGGUGCAAACGUUGUUCGGAAUUACUGGGCGUAAAGCGCGUGUAGGCGGCCAUCUAAGUCGGGCGUGAAAUCCCACGGCUCAACCGUGGAAGUGCACUCGAAACUGGAUGGCUAGAGUCCUGGAGAGGAUCGCGGAAUUCCCGGUGUAGAGGUGAAAUUCGUAGAUAUCGGGAGGAACACCAGUGGCGAAGGCGGCGAUCUGGGAAGAUACUGACGCUGAGGUGCGAAAGCGUGGGGGAGCAAACAGG